rnacentral:rRNA from 1 species
CGGCGGACGGGUGAGUAACACGUGGAUAACCUACCUAUAAGACUGGGAUAACUUCGGGAAACCGGAGCUAAUACCGGAUAAUAUAUUGAACCGCAUGGUUCAAUAGUGAAAGACGGUUUUGCUGUCACUUAUAGAUGGAUCCGCGCCGCAUUAGCUAGUUGGUAAGGUAACGGCUUACCAAGGCAACGAUGCGUAGCCGACCUGAGAGGGUGAUCGGCCACACUGGAACUGAGACACGGUCCAGACUCCUACGGGGGCAGCAGUC